ACACAACAGACUGCCGGCAGGGUGUCAGACAGACCAGAAUGGCAUCUCUUGGCGCUGACAGCUGCGAAACACAGAGGCGUGAUGCAUGACCAAGUACCCAGAGGCCACUCCCAGUGUUUGUGUGCACAGCUUAUGUUAGGAGGAACACAACAGACUGCCGGCAGGGUGUCAGACAGACCAGAAUGGCAUCUCUUGGCGCUGACAGCUGCGAAACACAGAGGCGUGAUGCAUGACCAAGUACCCAGAGGCCACUCCCAGUGUUUGUGUGCACAGCUUAUGUUAGGAGGAACACAACAGACUGCCGGCAGGGUGUCAGACAGACCAGAAUGGCAUCUCUUGGCUCUGACAGCUGCGAAACACAGAGGCGUGAUGCAUGACCAAGUACCCAGAGGCCACUCCCAGUGUUUGUGUGCACAGCUUAUGUUAGGAGGAACACAACAGACUGCCGGCAGGGUGUCAGACAGACCAGAAUGGCAUCUCUUGGCGCUGACAGCUGCGAAACACAGAGGCGUGAUGCAUGACCAAGUACCCAGAGGCCACUCCCAGUGUUUGUGUGCACAGCUUAUGUUAGGAGGAACACAACAGACUGCCGGCAGGGUGUCAGACAGACCAGAAUGGCAUCUCUUGGCGCUGACAGCUGCGAAACACAGAGGCGUGAUGCAUGACCAAGUACCCAGAGGCCACUCCCAGUGUUUGUGUGCACAGCUUAUGUUAGGAGGUAUGUCCUGAGUCACCUGGAGGAAGUGUACCAUGCGUCUCUUCUUACUAACAUGUGCAGAGGUGUUUUACCAAAUGGGGCGGCCCAAGGCCUAACUGCUAAAGUCUACUGCCCCCAAUAGUCUGCAGUUUGUAUUGUGGCAGAUCCUCACAGGUUGCAUCCGUCCGUAUUGAUGAUACAUUGCCACCUGUCAUCUGUAGAAUGUAUUGCGUUGGAACCUGAACCUCACGUGUGUAGUUGUCUGAGUUCUUUUUCUUACAUUCAAUGUACUUUUACUUUUUUAAGUGUCACUUUUGUGAUUUAACAGAUAUGUUGAAAUUAUAUAUUAUAUGAAAGCACACCACGGGGGCUAUAUAAUUGGUUCUAAGAUCACAGAACUGGCAAUCUGUUAUAAGGC